UUUUCGCACUCUGGAGAGCGGCAGUAGCCGUCUGCAUCGUCUAAAGCGUGCAGGUUCGGCAAGCUGCCCACCGAAGGGGCGCGCGUUCACCGUGAUCCGGCAAGCCGGCCGCGGCAGCGCAAUCUCUCAGGUAUCGAGGACAGAGGGGUCAUG
rnacentral:ncRNA from 2 species